ensembl:lncRNA
UGUACUUCCCCUCUCCAACCUCGCAGCCAAUCGUUCAACACAUGGCCACCAUAUGCUUUCUUCAUUACUCGCCAAAGGAAACACGGCUGCCCCAAACAGGACCUUGAAAAAGGAGAGGAAAAAUAAUCAUCCUCCUGCCUUCCACCUUCACUGUCCCUGGUGCAGUCGGUGGUUCAGCAACACUUCAAAGGAGGAAGGUCUGUGGCGCUGCAGAUAACACAUUGUACCCCCUGCCCCUCAAGCACAGGCAAGCUUUUCCAGAGCUACUACGCAAUCCAUUGACUGACAGAUUUUCUUUUCUUUAGAAAACUGUUGUUUUUUACUUCUUUACUGACUUUUAUGUUUUUUGUCCUCCUCUCCAGUAUGAAUGAUUUAAAUUUUUAACUGUUGUGCAGAGCAUAAGGUUUAAAUGCCCACUUCUAUUUGAAAUGCAUUGUUGGCUUGAAACAUAUUCAUGCAGUGAUGAAACUUUAAAAGGAGAAGAUAUGUUGUUAAUAUAGAGGAGUUGUAGUCCAAUAUAUUCCUGUAAAUGCGCUAGACUAUUGACGGUAUUUGGCCAAUUUUUAUUUUUAUAUAUAUAGAUAGAUAGAGAUAUAUAGAGAGAUAGAUAGAUAGAGAUAUAUAAAUAAUUUUUUUUUUUUUUCCCCCUCAUUUUUGUUCUGGGGAGGGGAAAGGAGUUUUUUUUUUUUUUUUCCUUUUCUUUUUUUCUCCUUUUUUUUUCUCAGUUCAUCAGUGUCACCGAAUAAACAAAAAUUAAACUGGAGUUAACAGGGACAUAAUGGCUUUCAUUAUCUCAGCACCCCUGAGUUGGACCCACUAGGGUUGCCAGUGAAUGUGCAUGAGACAUGUUGGCAUGUGUUGUUCUACUAGAUUAGGGAGUACAAUAAGAAAAACUAGGUAUCCAUGGUGGUAGCAGUUGUCUGUUUCCAAGGGACUGUAAUCCUGGCCGUAUUAGCCGAUAGGUAAAUGGCAGGUGAAUAUCUGGUCAUAUGUGCACUUAUGUAAUGGGGUUCGUAAGUGUAACAUGGUUUUGAAUACUUUGAGAGAGAGAUUGUUUUGCUGUUGACACCUGUAUUUAAAUAAUGUAUUUUGUUCACCCUUGGCCCACAGUCAAGUUUUUUUUUUUUUUUUUUCCCUGAGAAAGAAACUGACAAAUCCAACCAAAUCUUUUUAUACUGAAACAUGAUCACUGUAUUAUAAGCCACCCUACGAAACUAUUUUAGCAUUCCUUUAUGGCUUUGAGUAGUUUUCAGUAUCUGUUCAUCUCCAGGUCAUUUUCUUAUCCAUUUAUUGCAAAUAUAGGAAAAAAGUAAAUAUGUGGACUAGCGUUUCCAAAAGCCCAGUCUUUACAUGUUUUCUUUGUUUGAAAGCUAUUCGUUAAUAAUGAAACGGCCUCACAAAAUUAUCACAGCUGUAUUUCUCAUUAAUUGACCUGUCAAUUAACUACUUGUUGCAACAGUUCAACGUAUGAUUCAGUGGUUGACAUUUGUUUUUGUCUUUCCCUUUUCUCUGAUACAUAUAUAUUUUUUUCCCCCCUGAUUUUUAUUUUUAUUUUUUAUUUUUACAUUUUUGUCUCUUUUGGGCUGAGCUGUGUAAAUGCUAUAUAAUAGUUUUAAAAUUAGCUACAGGGGUUAAAGUAAAGGUAUACUUUAGUGGGGACUGGAAGUUCGUCUACCUGAAAAUAGUGGUUUGCAUAAUCAUCCUGAGCAUCUGUGGUGUUGAAUUUAUUUAUAUAGUAGGAGGAGUUUAUAUUUAUGUAAAUAUUCUUUGUGUUCUAUUUAUAUAAAUACUUUGAGCUCCACCAGCAGCAUCACUGACAGAUGCACACGGGCUUCCAGCUAAUCACCUGUUACAGGUAGAGUACAAAAGCCAGCUAGUUGCUUUCAGUACUUGCGGGUGUACCGCUUAAUGUCAAUUAAUUAGAUUGUAGCUGUUUAAAUUAAACUCCCAUCUCAUCUUUCCUUAAAGUGAUUGCUAGUCAAGCUCACAGUUAAAAUAGGUGAGGAGUGAGGGAUGGUGUUUUAGACACUUCACUUCAUUUAACUACUGCGGCAUCCCGUUCUACAUAUUUAUUAGGGGUGCAACGAUACUCGUAUCGAUAUUGAACCGUUCGAUACAGUGCUUUCGGUUCGGUACGCAUAUGUAUCGAACAAUACAAAAUUUUAAAUUUAUUUUAUCAACUUUUCUUCCGACGAUGCUUUCUGUGUUGAACGCUCAGUGGAUCUGCGCUCG